UACGUAGGGUGCGAGCGUUGUCCGGAAUUAUUGGGCGUAAAGAGCUCGUAGGCGGCCACUUAAGUCGGAUGUGAAAGCCCUUGGCUCAACUGAGGAAGUGCACCCGAAACUGAAUGGCUUGAGUACUAAAGAGGGUCGCGGAAUUCCCGGUGUAGAGGUGAAAUUCGUAGAUAUCGGGAGGAACACCGGUGGCGAAGGCGGCGACCUGGGUAGAUACUGACGCUGAGGCGCGAAAGCGUGGGGAGCAAACAGG
rnacentral:rRNA from 1 species